ACGGUCGCCAGUUCUUUUUAUAUUUGCUUUUCUUAUACAUGAUGAUCUUAUUGUGUCUAUCAUCAUCCAAGUGUGGCGUAUUCCAACGGCUGCACAUACAAGUCUCGUGCUAACUGUGAGGAGUUCUUUUUCAUAUGGAGACAGGGAAGUAUCUGAUGGCCAGUGUCUGGUCACACAUUCUAUUUGUUAUACCAACUAUAUCGGAUAGAGCUAAACAUUAUGCAGAAGGUGUGCCCCCCAUAUAAAAUCUUGGAGUGGGAAAGACAGGUUUAGGCGGUCAGAGUUUUGACUCUUGAGAAGUGUCGAGAUGAGGAGUUACAGACUUCUGGUUACAGCUGUUGGGGAAAUGCGUAGCCGUUGAAGAAUAAAGAAUGAGGAAAUAUAUCUGUAUUUACAUUUGUGGUAUCAUAUUGGCAGAUGUAGCUUACUUAAAGUGAAAUAUUAGUUUCAUCUUACCAUCACUUGGCAAGGAUAAGACUGGUGAAAUUGAGGGAGAUGAAAACAUUAUCAUGUAUCAUAU